AUUGAACGCUGGCGGCAGGCCUAACACAUGCAAGUCGGGCGAGUGGCGGACGGGUGAGUAAUGUAUGGGGAUCUGCCUGAUGGCGGGGGAUAACUACUGGAAACGGUAGCUAAUACCGCAUACCAUCAGAUGACCCCAUAUGGGAUUCGCUAGGUGGUGAGGUAACGGCUUACCUAGGCGACGAUCCCUAGCUGGUCUGAGAGGAUGAUCAGCCACACGGUGACGGAGACACGGCCCAGACUCCUACGGGAGGCAGCAGUGGGGAAUAUUGCACAAUGGGCGCAAGCCUGAUGCAGCCAUGCCGCGUGUAUGAAGAAGGCCUUCGGGUUGUAAAGUACUUUCAGUCGGGAGGCGUUACCGACAGAAGAAGCACCGGCUAACUCCGUGCCAGCAGCCGCGGUAAUUC
rnacentral:rRNA from 1 species